AAAAAAGGUUUUUUUUUUCUUUUAAAUAAAAUAGAUGAGUGUUUAGAGAUAAAACUUUGAAGUACAAAGCUAUUUUUCAUUUAAUGAGAAGAGUUUUAAAUUAUUGGGCAUUACUUGUUGACCUAUACCCAAAUAAUAAACAUAAUCCAUUGACUUGGUCCCAGAAAAAAUUUGACUCUUGAUAUAUGCCUGGAUACUCAAGAUUUCAUUGAUUUUAGCCUAAAUUCUCAUUUUUAGGGCAAUUACAAUUAGAUACAUUUUUUGUUACUAAAAUGAUUAAAAUCAAAUACCUACAACAUAUCGAUUAUAUUUCGACAACAUAUUGACCUUGUAUCAACGACACAAUGAUGAAAUAUCAAUGACUUGCUAAAAACGAAUUAUUUCAGCAAUUAAAUAUCAAAAGUAGUCAAAAGCCCUUUUUUAAGGGCAAUGCUUGUGUGCCCCUCAAGUUCUAUUGGGAACCUACUUGUCCCCCCACUUAUGAUUAACAUAUCUUUACCUAAAACAUUAUAAUAAGAACCAUUCAUUUUCUUUAUCAUCCUAUAGAAAUCAAAUAUGCAAAAAAUCAUUCAAUUUGGAGAUGUGUUUAGGCAUUCAUGAGCAUAAAACAAAUGGACGAUAUCAUGAGGAUGUUACUUGUUAGCUAAACCGUAGAUGAAUUUGCAACGCAUGGAUGGAUAAACGAUGUUCAAAUCAAAUGAUUUUUGCGAUAAGAUUUUUCAAUGAUGAGAAUGAACAGGUGAAGGUACAUUAACAAUAAGUGAGGGGAUUGCAAAAGUAAUAUAUUUUUUAAGAACAAUAUUUGGCUACUCAAAGAUGAGUAGGAACUCCUAAUCAAAACUCUUAGUAUUUUAAUCACAUAGCUUUGUGUUUAUGAUCAGAACCGUUCAUACUCUGAAUCACAUUAUAAACAUCAUUUUUGCAAAAAAAAAAUUAAAAAUAAGGUCGUUUAGUCAAUCUAUAGUACCAAAUACAUAGACGGUUCAUAAUGCUUUUACCAAUUCCGUUCAUUUGUUUUUAAACAGUUUGAUGACUAAACAAGCUUAGUUUUAUUGAUUUUUUUUUGCAGAAGCGAUCUUUAUAGAGUGAUUUAUAAUAUGAAUAGUUUUGAUUAUAAACACGAAGUUCUAUAAAUUGACGACAAACAAUUUUGAGAAAUUUUGAGUAGGAAUUCCUACUUAUAUUUGAGUAGCCAAGUAUUAUUCAUUUUUUAAAGAGUUAAUCUCAGUUUACUACCCUGAAGGUUCGUGGUUUUCAAUAUUUGG
rnacentral:lncRNA from 1 species